AUUGAACGCUGGCGGCAUGCCUUACACAUGCAAGUCGAACGGUAACAGGUCUUCGGAUGCUGACGAGCGGCGAACGGGUGAGUAAUACAUCGGAACGUGCCCGAUCGUGGGGGAUAACGAGGCGAAAGCUUUGCUAAUACCGCAUACGAUCUACGGAUGAAAGCGGGGGAGCUUCGGAGCUCGCGCGGGCGGAGCGGCCGAUGGCAGAUUAGGUAGUUGGUGGGAUAAAAGCUUACCAAGCCGACGAUCUGUAGCUGGUCUGAGAGGAUGAUCAGCCACACUGGAACUGAGACACGGCCCAGACUCCUACGGGAGGCAGCAGUGGGGAAUUUUGGACAAUGGGCGAAAGCCUGAUCCAGCCAUGCCGCGUGCAGGAUGAAGGCCUUCGGGUUGUAAACUGCUUUUGUACGGAACGAAAAGCCUCUUUCUAAUAAAGAGGGGUCAUGACGGUACCGUAAGAAUAAGCACCGGCUAACUACGUG
rnacentral:rRNA from 1 species